UAGCUCAGUGGUAGAGCCCCCGCUCCGUAUGCGGAGAGCCCCGGGUUCGAUUCCCGG
rnacentral:tRNA from 1 species